rnacentral:rRNA from 1 species
GAUAAACGCUAGCGGUGCGCCUAACACAUGCAAGUCGAGCGAUCGAACUGGACUGAUCACCCUUCGGGGUGAGAGGACCAGUGACGGAGCGGCGGACUGGUGAGUAACGCGUAGCCAACCUACCCCCUUGACGGAGAUAACUACCUGAAAGGUAGCUAAUACCCGAUAUUGCUCGAGAUCGAAAGAUCUUGAGCCAAAGGCGGUCUUGCCGUCGCAAGAGGAGGGGGCUGCGUCCUAUUAGCUUGUUGGUGGGGUAAUAGCCCACCAAGGCGAUGAUGGGUAGCUGGUCUGAGAGGAUGGCCAGCCACAUUGGGACUGAGAUACGGCCCAGACUUCUACGGGAGGCAGCAGUGGGGAAUCUUUCGCAAUGGGCGAAAGCCUGACGGAGCGACACCGCGUGGGGGAUGAAGGCUUUCGGGUUGUAAACCUCUUUUCUGGGGGAAGAAUAAGGGCGGGAGGAAAUGCCCGUCCGAUGACGGUACCCCAGGAAUAAGCAUCGGCUAACUUCGUGCCAGCAGCCGCGGUAAGACGAAGGAUGCAAGCGUUAUCCGGAAUUACUGGGCGUAAAGGGCGCCUAGGCGGCUGAGUAAGUCACCCGUGAAAGCCCUCAGCUCAACUGAGGAAUGUCGAGUGAAACUGCUCAGCUUGGGUGCAGGAGAGGAGGGUGGAACUCACAGAGUAGCGGUGGAAUGCGUAGAUACUGUGAGGUACCCCGAUGGCGAAGGCAACCCUCUGGCUGCUACUGACGCUGAAGCGCGAAAGCGUGGGGAGCAAAGGGGAUUAGAUACCCCCGUAGUCCACGCCGCAAACGAUGUUCACUGGGUGUCGGUCGCUAAUACAGAUCGGUGCCGGAGCUAACGCGUUAAGUGAACCGCCUGGGGAGUACGGCCGCAAGGCUAAAACUCAAGAGAAUUGACGGGGCCCCGCACAAGCGGUGGAGCACGUGGUUUAAUUCGAUGAUAAGCGAAGAACCUCACCUGGGUUUGACAUGCUAGUGGUAGGAACCGGAAACGGGGACGACCCUUGCCUUCGGGUAAGGGAGCUAGUACAGGUGAUGCAUGGCUGUCGUCAGUUCGUGUCGUGGGACGUUGGGUUAAGUCCCGAAACGAGCGCAACCCCUGUCGUCAGUUGCCAGCGGGUAAAGCCGGGGACUCUGACGAGACUGCCGGUGAAUAGCCGGAGGAAGGAGGGGAUGACGUCAAGUCAUCAUGUCCCUUAUGCCCAGGGCGACACACAUGCUACAAUGGGGGGUACAAAGGGCUGCAAUGCCGUAAGGCUGAGCCAAUCCCAAAAAACCUUCCUCAGUUCGGAUUGAGGUCUGUAACUCGACCUCAUGAAGCCGGAAUCGCUAGUAAUCGCAGGUCAGCCACACUGCGGUGAAUAUGUACUCGGGGCUUGUACACACCGCCCGUCACACCAACCGAGUGGGGGGUACUUGAAGUCGCUCUUUAUGGAGCGCCGAGGGUAACCUCCGCAAGAGGGGUG